GUCUUCUCAUUGAGCUCCUUCCUGUCGAUUGGUGACGGUUUAGGAUUCGCACGAGAAGAAGAGAGAAUUCACAGAGCUAGCGUUGUUGCCUUCUGUCUUUACAGAGGUACAUUCAGCUGUUUUGUGAGACAUUU
rnacentral:snoRNA from 1 species